AGUGCAUCAAGGUAGUUCCAUAAUGUCAUCAUCUGUCAGAAAUGACUGAUGUGCAACCUGAGUGGUUGUUCUAACACAUGAGUUUCUCGAACCACUUUCUAUCAUAAAUUGUGAACUACGAGGGGUUGAACUUAUUCGAGGGUUCUAUUCUCUCAAUCUCGAGCGUGAAUGGGAUUUUUUACCUCUACUGGAGGUGUUCAUUCUCUGUGGACCUAGGGGUUCUGGCCUCUGACCUUACUAAGAGGAUUGUUCUCGCAGUGACUGCUACUUUGGUGACUAGCUUUGCCCGUAAGUCAUCUUGUCUUUGGUUUCAUUUGGCGUUCAUAGUAUGGAGAACGUCCGCGCCAGAAUUAGUUCGGCUUGGUGGAGCCCUUCAUUUGUCUAAAGCCACGAUCUGACUAUCACCUUCAGUUUUUGCCUCAUCAUAGUAUGACUGAGUUUGCUUGCCCUUCGAGCCACCCCGAGGUGAGGCUUCUCACCUUACCACCCUUACCUCGAAUGACACUUCUCCUACCCUAUAUGAAGGCAUUUUCAAGUUGUUGGCCAUCAAGACCUGCCUCAUUUCCUCCAUUUAAGUCAGCAUGGCCCUUAUGGCCACGUCCCUACAGUCUUCCCUGUCGGUGAGGAGAAACUACCUUGACCUUUGCUUGGAGGGGCCCAUGACUUCCCUCUAAGCAUUGGCUAGUAGCUUUGUUCCUCUCUCGCCCGACGUUCUGGGUACUAGAAGGUACUCCAUUUGGGCUUCUCGACUGCCUUUACUGCCAUUGUUGCUCUUAGAUGCCAUCAUAACCAAGUUUGUUGUAUCUAUGGUCGAUUUCUCAUAGACGAUGCCAAUUGUGGAGUUGUGUGGAUGAAAGAAAAUCGAAGACAGAAGAUAGUGUGGUAGAGGAGCGAAUUUCGAUGGGCGGAGACUACACAAUUGGUCUACAAAAUAGUAACAGAGAGACCACCUAGAGUUGUUUUGAGGACAGUUUUUCGACGGUCAAGUCAAUGACUAAAAAGGAAGAGAGAGAAGAGAGCAAGAGCAAGAUUCUUGGAUCUAGUUUUAGAGAGAGAAAGUCCAAAGAGAGAGAGGUUAUCACUUUUUUUUAGAGAGGGCCUAUCCCAUUUGUAGUGUAGCUCGGUGCGUGUGAGGACGCGCCAACUACCAUGUCAGAGAGUAGGCAACUGAUCCAAUCAUGCCCCUAGAGUGUGGAUGGUAGCUAACCCAUCGCAUUAUCGGAGUUUGGAUCCAAGCGUGCUGGUGGCAGAGGUAACUUGUCGUGUACGUUAUCCUUUGCUCUUGAAGUCUGGCCGUGGAUAUCUCCGAUGUGACAAGUUCAUCGAUUGAGCACUAGCGUAAAGAUGCCGACUAAAUUUGUUAUGAAGCAACAGUCCGGCAGCAACACUCGCCCAAACUCUGCCAAAAAUAAAAUAGAAUAUUUUAUCCUCUUACAUUCCUCAUAAAUUUUAGAAAAUAAAACUGCAUUUUAAUGCUACGUAUUUUAGUUCAACUGAAAAUUGAUAUUUCACCAUGCACAAGGAUACAAGCUAAGCAUAUGUGGUUAAGGCUCCGUUUGGCACCAACUUUUUUUUUGAUUUUUUUGCUUAAAAUAAGCAAAAAAGUCAAUCAGAGUUGAUUUUUUUGCUUUUCUAUUUUUGAUUUUUUACUUAGUUUUAACUAAAGUAAUGCCACAAAAAUAAAAAAGUCAAAAAAACUUGGUCUUUUUAAUAGUAAAUUUAAAAAAACUUAAUUUUUAAGAAUUACCAAACGGAGCCUAAAUGGAGAAUUCAUAUGCCCGUCGCUGUUUGGAUUAUCACCACAUUGUUGGGAUUUAGAUUGGACUCGCUUCUCUGCGUUUUUAAAAUGAUCUAUAACAAUGUAGUACAAAUAUUUUGAUCUUUAUUUUUUGGCUUACUUUAAUGAUUUCAAUUGUUAUAUUGUAGUAUUUAUCAAAAAAAUUAGCACUGUAAAAAAUUAUAUUAAUUGAAUGCAAAUUAAUAGUUAAUCAUUAUCAAUUUAUAUCAAGAUAAAUAGAUAUAAUUAUGUACAUCACAUUUAUUUAUUAAGUUAUAAUACAAUAUUAAACGGUUAUUGAACUAUAUUAACUUGAUUUUUAAAUUUUUUAUGACAAAAUAAAUUGGCCAUGAGGCUCAGUUACUAUGAAUUGACAUGUGUACCCCACAGCCAGAAAAUAAUAAAUUCUCCUAAAAAUAAUAUUAACUUUUGGCCAAUCACAUGAUUCUUUCAUUGGUCUUUCGGUUUCAAUUUAUUCAUGAGUAAAUACGACUUAGUGCAAUUAUGUUACAUGAACAUUAUCUCCUAUUUUAUUAGUCAAAACACAUUGGUCCACCACUUAAAAUAAGAUUCACUCUACUAUUUUAUGUGUGUUUUGACUAAUAAGAGGAUGAAUAAUGUUCGCCUACUUUAUCAGGUGGCUGAAUAUGAAAGAUGUGUUCAAAGAAUAUAACCUCGUCUCUUUAUUUUUAUAAUGUUUUAACUUUUACAAUAUUUAUUUUA
rnacentral:lncRNA from 1 species